GGAAGGGAAGGGAAGGGAAGGGAAGGGAAGGGAAGGGAAGGGAAGACAUACUGAAAAGGCUUCUGAAUCAGACCAUCCAUGUGUAUCAGACAGGUUUUUUUCCUAGUUUCCAUGAGCAGAAAAACUAUUGCAUUUUCAAACUUUUUGGUAGUUGCUGAGCAGUUUGUCUGCUGAUUCAGAUGAAAUGGCACUGCCCUUUCGGAUGAGCUGCUCUGUUCAGUCUGAUCUGCUCAAUCUGAUCUCUGGUAGGUUAUCAAGGUGGUCUUCAUGUAACCAGAAUCUGGUUACCCAGGGCUGCAGAUCUUCAUAAGCAUUACUUCCACCAGAAGUUUAAAUAUCAUCAGAGGAACUGUGAAAGCAAGUAAACAAACAGAUAAACAUACCUCAAAUUCAGCAUAUGCCUGUCACAGCAGAAAAAAUGUUGGGUCCACAAAACUCUCGUAUAGUAGAAAGUCCAGUCCCAAGAAUAUAUGGCAUAAAAACAAUGAAACUGUUACGAAGAAAUCCAUCUAGUCCUUCAUCUUUUCUGCAACCCUGGACAUAAUUAUCCUGGAGUACUACAACAAGUGAUUCAAAGGAUAUGCCCUUCCAUAAACUGCAUCUGUAGUGCAUCAGGAUCUGGCUGUGAGCAUGCUUUUGCCAGUGGAAGCAAAAAGCUUUGUCUUGGAAGCUUACAUAUGGAAACGGAUCAACGUGCUCUGAUGUUCACUGUAGCACUGGUUAACAUGAAGAACGGCACUAAACGCCAUCAUUAGACACAAUUCAGACAGCUGAAUGCCCAGUUUUGUUCAAUAAAAG
rnacentral:lncRNA from 1 species